GGAAUCUUCCACAAUGGACGAAAGUCUGAUGGAGCAACGCCGCGUGAGUGAAGAAGGUUUUCGGAUCGUAAAACUCUGUUGUUGGAGAAGAACACGUUUGAGAGUAACUGUUCAGACGUUGACGGUAUCCAACCAGAAAGCCACGGCUAACUACGUGCCAGCAGCCGCGGUAAUACGUAGGGGGCGAGCGUUGUUCGGAAUUACUGGGCGUAAAGGGCGCGCAGGCUGUUAAUCAAGUCAGCUGUUAAAUCGUGCGGCUUAACCGUAUGAUGCAGUUGAAACUGUUUAACUGGAGUAUCGGAGAGGUAAGCGGAAUUCCCAGUGUAGCGGUGAAAUGCGUAGAUAUUGGGAAGAACAUCGGUGGCGAAGGCGGCUUACUGGCCGAAAACUGACGCUGAGGCGCGAAAGCCAGGGUAGCAAACG
rnacentral:rRNA from 1 species